UGGGGAAUAUUGGACAAUGGGGGCAACCCUGAUCCAGCAAUGCCGCGUGUGUGAAGAAGGCCUUCGGGUUGUAAAGCACUUUCGAUGGGGACAAACAAGUUCGACCUAACACGUCGGACUCUGAUGGUACCCAGUGAAGAAGCACCGGCUAACUCUGUGCCAGCAGCCGCGGUAAUACAGAGGGUGCAAGCGUUAAUCGGAAUUACUGGGCGUAAAGGGUGCGUAGGUGGUUAGAUAAGUCAGGUGUGAAAUCCCCGGGCUCAACCUGGGAACUGCGCUUGAUACUGUCUGACUAGAGUUUGGUAGAGGGUAGUGGAAUUCCGGGUGUAGCGGUGAAAUGCGUAGAUAUCCGGAGGAACACCAGUGGCGAAGGCGGCUACCUGGACCAAAACUGACACUGAGGCACGAAAGCGUGGGUAGCAAACAGGAUUAGAUACCCCGGUAGUCCCUGAGCGGGC
rnacentral:rRNA from 1 species